AUCAGCCAAACUUUUUUCCCGCCA
rnacentral:siRNA from 1 species